UACGUAGGCAGCGAGCGUUGCUCGGAAUCACUGGGCGUAAAGGGUGCGUAGGCGGGUCUUUAAGUCAGGGGUGAAAUCCUGGAGCUCAACUCCAGAACUGCCUUUGAUACUGAGGAUCUUGAGUACGGGAGAGGUGAGUGGAACUGCGAGUGUAGAGGUGAAAUUCGUAGAUAUUCGCAAGAACACCAGUGGCGAAGGCGGCUCACUGGCCCGUUACUGACGCUGAGGCACGAAAGCGUGGGGAGCAAACAGG
rnacentral:rRNA from 1 species